UACGUAGGGGGCGAGCGUUGUCCGGAUUUACUGGGCGUAAAGAGCGCGUAGGCGGCCUGUCGAGUCAGCCGUGAAAGGCCCUGGCCCAACUGGGGUAUGUCGGAUGAUACUGGCAGGCUUGGGUGCGGUAGAGGAAGGUGGAAUUCCCGGUGUAGUGGUGAAAUGCGUAGAUAUCGGGAGGAACACCAGUGGCGAAGGCGGCCUUCUGGGCCGUUACCGACGCUGAGGCGCGAAAGCGUGGGGAGCGAACCGA
rnacentral:rRNA from 1 species